rnacentral:rRNA from 1 species
GACGAACGCUGGCGGCGUGCUUAACACAUGCAAGUCGAACGGAAAGGCCCUGCUUGCAGGGUGCUCGAGUGGCGAACGGGUGAGUAACACGUGGGUGAUCUGCCCCUUACUUUGGGAUAAGCCUGGGAAACUGGGUCUAAUACUGGAUAGGACCAUGCUGUAGGUGGUGUGGUGGAAAGAUUAGUUUCGGUAAGGGAUGAGCUCGCGGCCUAUCAGCUUGUUGGUGGGGUAAUGGCCUACCAAGGCGUCGACGGGUAGCCGGCCUGAGAGGGUGGACGGCCACAUUGGGACUGAGAUACGGCACAGACUCCUACGGGAGGCAGCAGUGGGGAAUAUUGCACAAUGGGCGCAAGCCGGAUGCAGCGACGCCGCGUGGGGGAUGACGGCCUUCGGGUUGUAAACUCCUUUCAGCCAUGACGAAGCCCUUGUGGUGACGGUAGUGGUAGAAGAAGCACCGGCUAACUACGUG